rnacentral:lncRNA from 1 species
CUCUUCUCUGCUGCCGUCUGAGGUGCGCGUUUCACCUUCCGCCGUGAUUGUGAGGCCUCCCCAGCCACGUGGAACUGUGAGUCCAUUAAACCUCUUUCUUUUGUAAAUUGCCCCGUCUGAGGUAUGUCUUUAUGAGCAGCGUGAAAAUGGACUGACACGCAGACUCUCUGCAGAGUCCCGAGACGGCACGGAGGAUCACACGGGGAGGGGUCGAGUGUGCUAACUCAGGUCUCUCUUCCUCUUCUAAUAAAUCCACCCGUCCCGCUCCUGCGCUAACCCAUUAAUCCAUUAAUCUGUGAAUGGAUUCAUCUAUUCACGAGGGCACUGCCCUCCUGACCCGAUCACCUCUUAAAGGCCAACUCUCAAUCCUGCCACACUGGGAAUUAAGUUUCAACAUGAGUUUCGGAGGAGAUAAACAUUCAAAUCAUAGCCGAAAUCCAAAGAGAUUUGAGGAGCAGAAGUUGAUUCAAAGGUUAGCAAAGGCCCAUAUUGAUUGUUUCAGAGAAUAAUCAAUCAGAAAGUUAAGCAACGCAUCGCCAGAGCUGUGAGGAACAGACGAAGAAUUUCAAAAAGGCUUUAGGAUGAUAAAGACGCCUGGGCAGCUUUCUAAUGCUGUAUGCAAUGCCGUCCUGCAAACGUGUGUAAGUCAAACACACAAAAGGCAAAACAGCCACUUUCUUUUUUUUCUCUCUCUCUCUUUUUUGAGACAGGGUUUCACCCUUGUGACCCAGGCUGGAGUGCAAUGGCACGAUCUCAGCUCACUGCAACUUGCAACCUCCGCCUCCCGGGUUCAAGCAAGUCUCCUGUCUCAGCCUCCCGAGUAGCUGGGAUUACAGGCACCCGCCACCACGCCAGGCUAAUUUUUGUAUUUUUAGUAGAGACGGGGUUUCACCAUGUUGGCCAGGCUGGUCUCGAACUCCUGACCUCAGGUGAUCCACCCACCUCGGCCUCCCAAAGUGCUGGGAUUACAGGCGUGAGCCACCGCACCCAGCCAAAUCAGCCACUUUCUGUCAUCACCGGGGUUCUGCUCCUAGGGGGCCCAACAGCACCACAAAAGCUCCAAUUAAAGGGGAAAGCCCUUUAGCGACCGUUGUAAGGACAGGUCCCACCCAUUUGCACAUGUUCAUUUUUUUUUCCUUCCCAGUUGGAUCUGCCUGCCGUCAAGACUCACCACUUCCCACCUGUACACUGCUGUCUGUCCUCAUUUCAAGUGAAUCACCUUGCGGUCUUCUUAUGCCAGCAGGUUCAGAGCUCAUGCCAGACGCUGUGGAAGGAUUGUUUUUUGACUCUCUAAUACUGUGGAAGAAAAAGAGAUCUUCCAGAUAUCAGAGUUCUCCUGACAGCUGAAGAAGUGAUGGAUGAGCUGGGGUCUCAAUUCAUCAGAACAUCAAGCAGGAAGAGCAGCCCUCCAACCCCCCACCAGUUCAGAAAUGGAGACAUCGAGGAGUCCUGAGCACAGGCAGGAGAGACUAUGAAGUUAUCGUAGACUCGAUGUCCACAAGUGCCGAGCUACAGCUCAGACCAGGAGCCCCGGAGAACAACAGGCCAGUUCAGAAGAUUACAGCAGGACUGAUGGCGUGAAGUCGGGGAGAAGCUGCUGCGGGUUUUCUGUUCAAUUCCCAUCCUGCACUGCCAUCUCCAGGACACAGGAGUCCUCGCCAGGAUGAUCAAAGCGGCAGCCAACUCAGCGGGAAAACGUGCAACAUCACCCUCGUGACCAGGGCUUUUGAUCCGGGAAGGUCGGAGCAGAUUGGGAACAUUUGCUCAUCAUUCCUCUCCCUUUGCUGUGCAGCGGUGAGAAAAUGGGGAAAGGCAGUUGUUCAAAGAACAUCUCCUACGCUAUUAGCUGGUGAGACCAGAGGACCAAGACAGGGAGUGCCCCGGCCCAGCGCUCACACCCCAUGGCAAUGUUCCUAGCCGGCUACAGGGAUCUUGCACAAUACGGAUUCCAAGGCAGUAGCCUGGGGUGGGGCCUGAGAGCAGGCACUUCUAGCAAAUCCCAGAUGCAGCUCAUGGUGCAGGUCUGAGCCAUGGUCAAUCCGUGAGGGGCAAAAUGUGGUGCGAGGGCCAGCAGCAGCAGCGCCUGGAUGAUUUUUUUUUUUUCUUUUUGAGACAGAGUCUCACUCACUCUGUCACCCAGGCUGGAGUGCGGUGUCGCGAUCUCUGCUCACUGCAACCUCAGCCUCCCGGGUUCAAGCGAUUCUCCUGCCUCAGCCUCCCGAGUAGCUGGGAUUACAGGUGCCCGCCCACCACCAUGCCCAGCUAAUUUUGUAUUUUUAGUAGAGAGGGGGUUUCAGCAUGCUGGUCAGGCUGGUCUCCAACUCCUGACCUCUGGUGAUCCGCCUGCCUUGACAAAUGUAUCUAAGUGUCCUUUGGCGUGCAGAUUAUUUUGUCACCACGAGGACACUUUAAAGAUACAUUGGUGGUGCAACGUUCCUGGAGCUGGUAGGAAGACAUUCAUUUCUUUCUUUAUUUGAGUCACGGACACCAGACCCCUGUGACAUGCAAUUUACCUGCAUAAUAAACCUGCACAUGUACCCUUGAACCUAAAAUAGAAGUUUUAAAAAGCAUAAAAAAUAAUAAUAAUAAAAUAUAUUUUUCGACUGUGUAAAAAAAAAAAGUGUCUUUUUGUGGGGGGAAGGUGGCAGGACAGGGUCU